rnacentral:rRNA from 1 species
UACGAGAGGUGCAAGCGUUAUUCGGAAUUAUUGGGCGUAAAGGGUGCGUAGGUGGUAUACCAAGUCAACUGUAAAAUUCCUUGGCCUAACUGAGGGCUCGCAGUAGAAACUAGUAUGCUAGAGGUUGGAAGAGAGAAGUGGAAUUCUCGGAGUAGCGGUAAAAUGCGUAGAUCUCGAGAGGAACACCGAUGGCGAAGGCAGCUUCUUGGUCCAAACCUGACACUGAGGCACGAAAGCGUGGGGAGCAAACAGGAUUAGAUACCCUGGUAGUCCACGCCGUAAACGAUGAUCACUAGACGUCAGUCUUGCAUAGCAGGAUUGGUGUCGAAGCUAACGCGUUAAGUGAUCCGCCUGGGGAUUACGGUCGCAAGACUAAA